CUUAACCUUGAGUCCGUGUUCAUGUCGGUAUUUUCUUUCUAGGUGUUUCUCACCACAUAAAAUAUGUUAUAGUGUAGUUCAUCUAUUUCUCUUCCAUGGGUGAGUUCAUCUGGUAGAUUGGACUACCACUUUUCCUUGUCUCGAGUUCUUAUCCCGCAUCCAGGAGGAAUGAGGUUAUGCAGACACCUGGAAGGUGAGCAAGGCCGAGAAAAGCUUUACUGCGCAACUGGACAGCUCUCCGAAGAGAGGUGACCUGAAGCAGCCAUAAUUUUAGCUUGUCUAAACUUCUUACCUGGUGUGAUGAUCAAGAGCUUAAUCUCUGAAAG